rnacentral:rRNA from 1 species
GAAGCGGCAACAGCUCAAAUUUGAAACCUGGCGCUUGCGUCCGGAUUGUAAUUUGCAGAGGAUGCUUCUGGGCAGCGGCCGGUCUAAGUUCCUUGGAAAAGGACGUCAUAGAGGGUGAGAACCCCGUAUGUGACCGGCGCGCACCCUCCACGUAGCUCCUUCGACGAGUCGAGUUGUUUGGGAAUGCAGCUCUAAAUGGGAGGUAAAUUUCUUCUAAAGCUAAAUAUUGGCCCGAGACCGAUAGCGCACAAGUAGAGUGAUCGAAAGAUGAAAAGCACUUUGGAAAGAGAGUUAAAAAGCACGUGAAAUUGUUGAAAGGGAAGCGCUUCCCACCAGACUCCGCGGCGGUGUUCCGCCGGUCUUCUGACCGGUCUACUCGCCGCCGUGGGGCCAGCAUCGUCUGGGGCCGCCGGAUAAGACCGCAGGAAUGUAGCUCAUUGAGUGUUAUAGCCUGCGGGGAUGCGGCGCGCCCCGGGCGAGGUCCGCGCUUCGGCAAGGAUGCUGGCGUAAUGGUGGGCAGCGGCCCGUCUUGAAACACGGACCAAGGAGUCUAACAUCUAUGCGAGUGUUCGGGUGUCAAACCCCUACGCGUAAUGAAAGUGAACGGAGGUGGGAGCUUCGGCGCACCAUCGACCGAUCCUGAUGUCCUCGGAUGGAUUUGAGUAAGAGCAUAGCUGUUGGGACCCGAAAGAUGGUGAACUAUGCCUGAAUAGGGUGAAGCCAGAGGAAACUCUGGUGGA